AGCUACGGCCGCCUGGCGCGUUGCUACACCCGAUCCCUCGAUCUCGGAAGUUAAGCAAUGCGAGGUCCGGACAGUACUUUGAUGGGAGUCCCCCAACCAAGGACGUUCGGAUUGCUGUAGCCU
rfam:Branchiostoma floridae genomic scaffold BRAFLscaffold_32, whole genome shotgun sequence.